AUACGUAGGGUGCAAGCGUUAAUCGGAAUUACUGGGCGUAAAGCGUGCGCAGGCGGUUUUGUAAGACAGUGGUGAAAUCCCCGGGCUCAACCUGGGAACUGCCAUUGUGACUGCAAGGCUGGAGUGCGGCAGAGGGGGAUGGAAUUCCGCGUGUAGCAGUGAAAUGCGUAGAUAUGCGGAGGAACACCGAUGGCGAAGGCAAUCCCCUGGGCCUGCACUGACGCUCAUGCACGAAAGCGUGGGGAGCAAACAGGAUUAGAUACCCUGGUAGUCCACGCCCUAAACGGUGUCAACUGGUUGUUGGGUCUUCAUUGACUCAGUAACGAAGCUAACGCGUGAAGUUGACCGCCUGGGGAGUACGGCCGCAAGGUUGAAACUCAAAUGAAUUGACGGGG
rnacentral:rRNA from 1 species